GACGAACCGUGCGAACGUUGUUCGGAAUCACUGGGCUUAAAGGGCGCGUAGGCGGGCUGACAAGUCUGGGGUGAAAUCCCACGGCUCAACCGUGGAACUGCCUUAGAUACUGUCGGCCUCGAGGAAGGUAGGGGCAUGCGGAACUGUAGGUGGAGCGGUGAAAUGCGUUGAUAUCUGGAGGAACACCGGUGGCGAAGGCGACGUCCUGGACCGGCAUUGACGCUGAGGCGCGAAAGCCAGGGGAGCAAACGGG
rnacentral:rRNA from 1 species